AGCUGGUGAUGCAGCCAAGGAUGACUUGCCAACAUCCACUAAAAAUCUGAAGGGGAAAAACCAUGCUGUGUAGGACGUCAUCAUAUGCAAGGGAGAGUUGGCAAGUAUCCUCGGCUACAUCUCUUGCAGU
rnacentral:pre_miRNA from 1 species